CUAGAAACCAGCCUGCAAUUCCCCAUAAUCUGCCCUGGUGGAAAUUGCUGACCAGAAAGGCAGUGGAAUUCAAGUGAGGAUAAGCUGUUCUGCAAUAUCAACAGUUCUCAACUCUUCUAUGACUCCCACUGGCUCCUGGAUGUCCAAGAGCCUGAGAAUACCAUGAUCCUGGCCUCCGUGAAGGUCCAGGGAACACUGAACCAUCUGUGGUUUUCCCAUGAAUCAGACUACUCUACUUUCCCACCCUCGGAGUGGUGCCUCAGGUCUUCCCUGUAGCCUAACACUCGCCUCUGCAACAGCAUGGGAUAAGCACAGUCAUACUUCCCAUGUUCCACCUCCCCAGCUACUUUACCCUGUGGCAGAGAAGACAUGUGACCAACAAUCCAACGGUUGGGGUUUGCAGAUUUUUGGUUGUUAGUCUUCUUUUUAACAUCACUUUGCAUAUAAUUUAAAUAACCCACAUGCUAA